AAGUUCCGCCGAUAUUCACGCAAUGAUGUUUUAGCUAAUGAGUCGUAGUAUUUGGGGACCGGACCAUUGUUGAACACACCUUAAAUCAACACCGAAGAAAACAUUAGCCGUCUGAGAGACCGAUCAGUGAUUCUCAAGGAACAACCUUCCAAUGCUCGAACCGGAGUUUGGUUGAAACGAGAGAGUUCUUUGGACCUAGACACUGGUAUUUUUGUAGCAGUACUUGAGGCCGGUUCAUCUAUGGUCUCUCGUGGAAAAGAGUGGAUCACCCUGAGAUGGCCGCCAAACAUGGUGGCACUCAACUAUGCUCAGCCUCGAUAGCCAGGCUUCGGUCACUGCCUAGCCCAUGCCCUAUGGACAUGGAUCGAUGGUGAGGUGCGUGGUGCCCCACCUGAGCCAGGUACCAUGUUGGCAGCCGGCCACGGCUCUUCUGGAUUAUGUAUCCUUAUAUAACAUGAUUUUCCAUUGACAGACAAUAAUUUAAAUUUGAUACCAUACCGCAAAUAAUUGAAAUCAUCCAGCUUGUUUAAAACUGGAUUCCGAGAUUUCUUGCAAUGUAAGGAUGCUUCACCCAAACACAUCGACAAUCAUAAGCAUCCAGUUGUGAGUCAACACUCUAAAGAUUGCCAUAACUUACGCUCUUGUUAUUGACUAAUCAAUAAUUGAUUUAUGUACAACAUAAAACCGUGCCCCCCGCCAUAUAUUUCAGGAUAUCAUGGUGUACGAUUCCAUUUUUUUUUCCAGCAUUCAACCUAGAAGUGUAAUCUAGCCAUAGAGCAGUAAUGUCACUUUAUUUUAAAUUACUUACAUGGUGAUGCUGCUAUUUUAGCCGGACGUCCAGACUAUUGGAGUACUUCCUCUGCAGGUGAGCUCUG